UGGGGAAUAUUGCACAAUGGGGGGAACCCUGAUGCAGCGACGCCGCGUGGGCGAGGAAGUACCUCGGUACGUAAAGCCCUGUCAGCAGGGAAGAGAGAGGACGGUACCUGACCAAGAAGCCCCGGCUAACUACGUGCCAGCAGCCGCGGUAAUACGUAGGGGGCAAGCGUUAUCCGGAUUCACUGGGCGUAAAGGGAGCGCAGGCGGCACGGCAAGUCCGGUGUGAAAGCCCGGGGCCCAACCCCGGGACUGCAUUGGAAACUGCCGGGCUGGAGUGUCGGAGGGGCAGGCGGAAUUCCUGGUGUAGCGGUGAAAUGCGUAGAUAUCAGGAGGAACACCGGUGGCGAAGGCGGCCUGCUGGACGAUGACUGACGCUGAGGCUCGAAAGCGUGGGGAGCAAACAGG
rnacentral:rRNA from 1 species